rnacentral:rRNA from 1 species
AACGUAGGAGGCGAGCGUUAUCCGGAUUUACUGGGCGUAAAGCGCGUGCAGGUGGUUCGGUAAGUUGGAUGUGAAAGCUCCUGGCUUAACUGGGAGAGGUCGUUCAAUACUACUGGACUUGAGUGUGGAAGAGGGAAGUGGAAUUCCGGGUGUAGUGGUGAAAUGCGUAGAUAUCCGGAGGAACACCAGUGGCGAAAGCGGCUUCCUGGUCCAUAACUGACACUCAUACGCGAAAGCUAGGGGAGCGAACGGG